UCGCAGUUGUGUUUUUCUUUCACUUCAAAUAAAAUAAGAAGACCAAAACAAAUGUGGUUUAAAUGACUGAAGCAGAUAUCAAAGUAAGAAUGGAUUAAGACAAUGACAACCCCAAUAAAAGUGGCAGACUGGAGAGAUGGUAUCUGGAAGGUGAUUUGGUGAAAAUGGUGGUAAUUUAGCAGCAAUCUUUGUGGCUACUAUACCCCAGUGGGAGUCAUUCCGUUCCCUAGUAUCGGUGUCCUGUCUUGGAAAGGCUUCCAUGGAUAGUUCUAUAUUUCGUUUUUCAUCCCAUCAUGCUUUAUAACACAAAGUUCAGUCCAAAGGACCUAUCUUUGUGUGAAUAUGUCUUACAAUACCUAAAAUAUUUAGCUACAACAAGUGCACAAGGUUUGAAGAAUACAAACAUAUGAGAACUUAUUUCAAACAGUAAACAUUUAAAACUGUAAGCCAAAAAUUUUUUUCUUCUGAAUGCAUACUCAGAACAAAAUUUCUAUUCUGUCAGUUAUGUAAUCGAGAACACAGUGUAUAUAAUUAUAAAUGCUGUAAAUUUUUUUUCUUUUUGUUUUGAGUGAGAUCAUCACAAAAUGAAAUGUAUCUGAAUCCCUGUGUUUCUAGGAUAUAAAUCUGUAACAGUACCUUUAAGAGGAAAUCUCUAACAACAAUGCAUGAGAUGAUGCAUUGUAAAAUGCAUUUUACAAUGUAUUGUAAAAAUUUUCCCAUUUUGACCACAGUAUUAAAAUUAAAUGAUACAACCAUGAAUAACAGGUAAAUCUGAAAAGAAUUUUCUAAAACAUGAAACAAACAAAAAAAAUUGUUGAUCAAACAUACUAAAGGAAACUAUGGAUUAAUUUUUUAUUUUCAGUGCAGAAAAUAAUAUUACAAAAUUAUUUGCAUAUGAAGAAACUAUU